UUUGUGCGAGAUGGAUGCCGAAAAAGCUGAUGAAAAGGUGAAGACGACGAUGCAUUCGUGGUUCGCAGCUCAGCCCAAAACAUUUUUUAAUGAGAAAAUACAAAGGUCCUUCGGCAAAUGGACAAAGUGUAUACAGAAAUCGAGUGAUUAUGUCAAAAAAUGAUGUAUGUCUUUUUUGACAAUUGCUUAAAAUAAAUUCUACACCGACAGAGCGGGCUGUUAAUCUAGAGGCUGGAGUACAAAGAAGUGGCACAAUGAUGUGGGCUGAUGACAUUUAUAAUUAUCAAGGAAUCACCCCUACAUUCGCUCAGAAUUUUAAUGAAACUGUCCCUUGGGAAGGAAGAACUGAUACCUUGAUAUCACGGUUUGUACAUCCUAUAUAUACGACAAAUUUUAGAACAUUAUAUAAUGAAGAACCAGAUCAUUUUAUCAUUAGUUGUAUGAUAAUACAACUUUUUCAUGAAUUCUUUUAUUAUAAAAAUAUUACUUCUAAAAUCCCCGCUUUAAGGGACCAAAUCACAUGGCUAAAAUUUUUAAUCUUUUUGAUAGAUAGUCGCUGUUGAUACUUAACCGAGUAUGGUCAUAUAGUCGGAUAAAUAAAAUUUCCAUCCUUUCAAAUAUAUAUUAUAUUCGUCAGUG